rnacentral:rRNA from 1 species
CCUACGGGAGGCAGCAGUGGGGAAUCUUGCGCAAUGGGCGAAAGCCUGACGCAGCAACGCCGCGUGCGGGAAGAAGGCUUUCGGGCUGUAAACCGCUUUCAGCAGGAACGAAAAUGACGGUACCUGCAGAAGAAGGAGCGGCCAACUAUGUGCCAGCAGCCGCGGUGAUACAUAGGCUUCAAGCGUUGUCCGGAUUUAUUGGGCGUAAAGAGUUCGUAGGCGGUCAAGUAAGUCGGGUGUGAAAAUUCUGGGCUCAACCCAGAGACGCCACCCGAUACUGCUUAACUUGAGUUCGAUAGGGGAGUGGGGAAUUCCUAGUGUAGCGGUGAAAUGCGCAGAUAUUAGGAGGAACACCGGUGGCGAAGGCGCCACUCUGGAUCGAUACUGACGCUGAGGAACGAAAGCAUGGGUAGCAAACAGGAUUAGAUACCCUGGUAGUCCAUGCCGUAAACGGUGGGCACUAGGUGUGGGUUUCUAUUAACGAAAUCCGCGCCGUCGCUAACGCAUUAAGUGCCCCGCCUGGGGAUACGGUCGCAAGACUAAAACUCAAAGUNUAAUUGACGUCGAGAGACGACGACGACGACGACGACGAGGAGAG